GAGGAGGAGAGAGAGCGUGCCCGCUGCCCAAUGACAGCGCAGGAUGCUGAGAGAGGCUGCUCGGGUGAAUGGAGGCGACAAGAUGCCGUCUAGAGCGGCGAAGAAGAGGAAUUAACAUCGAUAAAGAUCUGACUUUGAUCUACUCCACCUUUUCAGACAUGAAAUAAGUCACCCAUGUGCAGUUCUAAGAGUCAGAGCAGUCUCAUUAUAACUCGCCCCUGUUAAGGACCCCUCUGGUGGCUACACCGCCGAAUCACAGGACAUGUACGGCAGUGCCAGAGCUGUAGGCCAUGUAGAGAGCAGCCCCGUACGGUCCCCGCACCUACCAAGGUCCCCCAGACUGGGCCAUCGAAGGGCACACAGUGGGAGCGGGGGUGGUGCGGGGGGCAAGACGCUCUCCAUGGAGAACAUCCAGUCCCUCAACGCUGCCUAUGCUACUUCGGGGCCCAUGUACCUGAGUGACCACGAGGGCGUGGGCUCCACUGCCACCUACCCAAAAGGCACUAUGACUCUGGGUCGCGCCACCAGUCGGGCCAUGUAUGGGGGACGUGUCACAGCCAUGGGCAGCAGUCCCAAUAUUGCUUCUGUGGGGCUGCCUCAUGCUGACCUUCUGUCUUACAGUGACCUGGGCUCCCUCUCCAUGCUGCACCCCCACCACCACCAGGGGGUGCCCUCUGCUCUGCUGAGGCAGGCAGUGCGGGGCAGUGGUGGGGAGCUGCUGGAGAUGCAGGCCCAGCUCAGGGAGAUGCAGAGGGAGAAUGAGAUGCUGCGACGGGAGCUUGACCUGAAGGACAGUAAGUUGGGAUCUUCCACCAACAGCAUCAAGAGUUUCUGGAGUCCUGAACUGAAGAAGGAGAGGAUAAUGAGGAAAGAAGAGGCGGCUCGUACGUCAAUCCUCAAAGAACAAAUGAGAGUCACUCAUGAGGAGAACCAGCUGCUGGAUGCCAGGAGAACCAAGCAUCUUCAGAUGACCAUCCAAGCUCUGCAGGAUGAAUUGCGCACACAGCGAGACCUCAACCACCUGCUGCAGCAGGAGAGCGGUAACCGCUCUGGGUCUGAGCAUUUCACCACCAUUGAGCUGACAGAGGAGAACUUCCGGCGGCUGCAGGCUGAACAUGAUAGACAGGCCAAGGAGCUCUUCCUGCUGAGAAAGACCCUAGAGGAGAUGGAACUGAGGAUCGAGACCCAGAAACAAACCCUGGGUGCCAGAGAUGAGUCAAUUAAGAAGUUGCUUGAGAUGCUACAGAGCAAAGGGCUGCCCCCGGGCCCGGGCAGGGCAACCGAGGAGGAGGAGCAAGAACGAGCCCGGCGCAUUGCUGAAGCAGAGGCGCAACUGGGACACCUGGAGGUCAUUCUGGAUCAAAAGGAGAAGGAAAACAUCCAUUUGCGAGAGGAACUGCACAGAAGAAAUCAACUGCAUCAGGACCCAAGUAAAACUAAGGCCCUGCAGACCAUUAUAGAGAUGAAAGACACCAAAAUUGCCUCUCUGGAACGCAACAUUCGGGAUCUGGAGGAUGAGAUUCAAAUGCUGAAGGCAAACGGCUUACUGAACACAGAGGACAGAGAAGAGGAAAUCAAACAGAUGGAGGUCUACAAGAACCACUCUAAGUUUAUGAAGACGAAGAUUGACCAGUUGAAGCAGGAGUUGUCAAAGAAAGAGUCAGAACUGCUGGCUCUGCAGACGAAGCUAGAGACCCUCAACAACCAGAACUCAGACUGCAAACAGCAUAUCGAGGUGCUCAAAGAGUCUCUCACUGCCAAGGAGCAACGUGCUGCCAUCCUGCAAACGGAGGUUGACGCUUUACGUCUACGUCUGGAGGAGAAAGAAUCCUUCUUGAACAAGAAAACCAAGCAGCUGCAGGACCUGACGGAGGAGAAGGGUACUCUCGCCGGAGAAAUCAGGGACAUGAAGGACAUGCUUGAGGUCAAAGAAAGGAAGAUUAAUGUCCUGCAGAAAAAGAUUGAGAACCUGCAGGAGCAGCUGCGGGACAAAGACAAGCAGCUGGGGAACCUCAAGGACAGGGUCAAGUCUCUGCAGACCGACUCCAGUAACACAGACACUGCCCUGGCCACCCUGGAAGAGGCGCUGUCAGAGAAGGAGAGGAUUAUUGAGCGUUUGAAGGACCAAAGGGAGAGAGAAGACAGAGAACGACUGGAAGAAGUGGAAUCAUAUAAGAAAGAGAACAAGGAAUUGAAGGAGAAGGUGAACAGCCUGCAGAUAGAACUAACAGAAAAGGAGUCCAGUCUCAUCGAUCUGAAAGAACACGCAUCAUCCCUGGCAUCCUCUGGCCUCAAGAAGGAUUCAAAGCUCAAGUCACUGGAGAUUGCAAUUGAGCAGAAAAAAGAGGAAUGUAGUAAGUUGGAGACACAGUUACAGAAGCAAGCUGAGCAGCUAUUCAGUCACAUGAACACUCCUAAAGCCCAUGAAGUGGAGCAGCAGUCGGGCUCCAGAGGGAACCCAGAGUAUGUGGACCGGGUGAAACUGCUGGAAAAGGAGGUGAGCUACUACAAAGAUGAAGCCAAUAAGGCUCAGGCAGAGGUGGAGAGACUUCUGGACAUCCUGCGAGAGGUGGAAACCGAAAAGAAUGAUAAGGACAAGAAAAUUGCUGAGUUGGAAAGCCCCCCUCCCCCCGCCCCCCGCCCCACCCCUCGUCCCGGUGGCAGAGCUCCCCCUGACCCGCUCCCUUCUGUGUCCACUGCUCCCCAGCAGAUAGGGGGCAUGGUGUGGGAUUUCCUGGGAAAACAAGGGGGUAAAGAUCAAGCUAAAAAGGGUUCGAACAUCAAAUUGGGGCUGCAAGGUGACAAGAAAGGCUUGGGACAGGACCCUCGUAAGGACAGCUCCAUAGAUGGUGGUCACCACUUGAAGUUGGAGGAGCUAAUGAACACGCUAGAAAGGACGAGGCAAGAGCUGGAUGCCACCAAGCAGCGUCUCUCCUCCACACAGCAGUCUUUACAGGAGAGGGACACUCACCUCACCAACAUGAGACAAGAACGCAGGAAACAGCUGGAGGAGAUCCUUGAAAUGAAACAACAAGCUCUGCUGGCGGCAAUUAGUGAGAAAGAUGCUAAUAUUGCACUGCUGGAACUGUCUGCCUCGAAUAAAAAGAAGACCCAGGAGGAGGUGCUAGCCCUCAAGAGGGAGCGGGACAAACUGAUGCACCAGCUCAAACAACAUACACAAAGCAGAAUGAAGCUGAUAGCCGACAAUUAUGAAGACGAGCAAUAUCAUCCACAUGCUCCUCACCACCCCCAGUCUCAGCCCUCACAUGCUCCACCUCAGCCCCAGCCCCAGUAUCCCCACGCUCCCCACCCUCAACAGACUCCAUAUCCACACGCGCCACACCCGCAACAUCCGCAACACCCACAGCACCUGCAACACCCACAGCACCCACAGGCAUCCCAGCAACACCCACACCCACAGCAGCCACAGAUGCAGUACCCUCACCCUCCUCACCAGCAACAUCCUCAGCACCCCCAGCCACCUCCCCAGCACCAACAGCACCCACGCCCUCCACAGCCCCAGCACCCUCACCAACAGCACCCCCAGCAUCCUCAACAGCACCCACAUGGGCAUCUGCCUCCGCAGCACCCUCACCCUCAGCACCCACACGGACCUCCACAACAGGGGCCACACCCCCAACAUCCACACCCUCAGCACCCCCAGCACCCUCAGCAUCCCCAACACCCUCACCAUGCCCAACAUCCACGUCACCCUUCGCCCCACCAUCGCGGGGGACCAGCCCGAGGACCCCCGCAUGCUGGUCAUCGCCCUUCCCCAGACCAGGAUGACGAGGAGGGCAUUUGGGCAUAAUCCUUGCUGUGACAACCAAAGCUCUAAUGUUGUUUUGAGGGAUGAUUCAGUCACUACUGGAGGAGCACAGCCAUGCCAUGAUGUUGUAACACUACCCAACUAAAUAUUUAUUACCUCCACUCAAUCAGUACCCAGCAACGGGACCUUUUUUUUCCCAGGAAGAGGAGGGGGAACUCAGGUGUGCAGGUCAUGCAUAGAGACUGACAGCUGAGCAGGUGAUGUGGGAGCUCUUCUUGGUGUGAACAGGACAAGACACACUCCACUUCACACAACAUUAGAUAUUCACAACUGAAGUGGAAGGAGAGAGAACGAUAUGGAGAAAGAGAUGUUCUGUGUGUGUCUAAUUGUUGCUUGGACAUGUGAUUAACAUGGGAGCACUGUAUCAGAGGUUACACCGAGGUCAACUCACCUGUCUGUCACAAGUUCAGGCCAACGGCGCUCUCUUGAUCCACCCAGCAGAGAUCUCACGACUGUCUGUCAGCCCAGUAUUUCUUCCUUCCUCCUUCUUCUGACUGGUUCAAGAUCAUGGUUGUCUUGCUGACUGUUUCACCUGCCUGACUGACUCCUCUGGCUCUGGUUGGCUCCUCCGCCUGACUCUUGUCAUGGUUUUUCAAUCCUCACUGCCCUCCUGACUCACCUGGUGACAUCUGACCCCUCUGCCUGGCUGUCAUGACCUUCGGCGUGUUGUAAUCAUCAGAUUGUGUUGCUGAGCUAUAUUUUCCCUCCGUGGCACGCAGUGACUUCUUCUUUUCUUUCUUUUUUUUUAACCUUUUUACCUGCCAUGCAUUUCUUCAGCAUUUCUAAAUGUGACGUGGUGUCCCUUUACUAGCAUGUUCCACACAAUCCAGAUUAAGUGGUUUUAGGGUUUCUUUUGUCAUUUCUUGUUGGUAAAAGGAAGAGCUUUGAUCUGACUGAUGACAGGCUUGAGCCUUGCCUGCAACAUCAAGAGGUUUCUGUGGCUGCGCAAGCAGGGCCUUCCAGUUCUCUGGCUAGUUUUAGCCUUAAGGCUGUGGCUGCACUGGAUUUUAUCUUCAUCUUACCUCAUUUUAAUCAAAAGUAGUCAAAAAAAGAAAUAAACUAUGCAGAUGUAAACAUAGAGUGAAUGCAUUCCCAUCCUUACUUAAAUCAAGUCAAAAUGAUUUAAUUGUCCAAUCACAGCAGCCAAGGGAGUGGUCAGAAUAUAUUGAUCAGAUUAUUUAGAUUAUUUCUGAGACUAUGCACCUAUGCACCUCCUCUGUGUUGCAGGAAUUUUUACUAAUGGUGCUUCUGCUGGUGCUCAAACUAAACGGUGUGAGAAGACCUGGUAAAGAGCAUCUUUUAGUCCUUUUACAGUAAAGGGACUUGAUCCCACAAUGGGCUUCAUAAACAACUGUAAAGGAGUUCUUUGUACAUAUGAUUUGACAAAAGGGGUUUGUGAUCCACACACAGAUGCUAGGUCCCUCAGCAAAUACUGCUACUAUAAGCAUCAUUCUAGACUAUAAAGAGAAGGCAGUGUCCAAUAGAUGUUUAUCCUGCAGGUCUAUUGGAGCCACUGACACACCAGUGUCUGACCUAGAGUAUGCUCCUGCUCCCCUCUCCCUUGUACUCUUCCAGCAGUAGUCUGUGUGACCUCCCCAAACAUAGUGACUUGUUUUCUCCUUCUCAACAAGGUGGCCUGUGCCUCGUAAAAACUGUACACAUAUGAUAGAUAUGCAUAUAUUAUACAUAUAGAGAGAAAUCUAUAGAGUGUGUCUAUAUGUGGUCAGAAAAUCAUUUCAAACUGACAAGAUACUAUAUAAAUAUAUAUAUAUAAUAUAUAUAUAUGUUUCUUUUUUCUUCAUGGUUAUUUUUCUAUCUGGCUGGAGGUCUGAGAAAUGUCUUAUUUAGAGCGUUGAGCGGUGUGAUUUUCCUCUGAUUUGUACUGUAUAUGAAAACCCCCCUCAGCAGCAAAGUUAACAUUCCCUGUCUGAAAAUACAGGACAGCCCAAAUAGAAAAAAAUUAAGAGCUUUAGGACAGUUUAUGGGAAACAAAGAAGUGUAUCCAAAUCUAUCUAGAAGUUUAGAAAAGGUGACAUUAUUACAUUCCUUUCUUAAUGUGAAAAACAACUCAGUUGAAGACCACUUUGCCUGUGGUGACGACUUUGAACAGCGACUUUAUUUAUUUUUUUAAUUUUGCAGCUCGCACAGGUAGCAUUGAGAUUAUGUCUGCUGAACUCAGCAGUCAGAAGCUUGCACUUGUGAGAGGACUAUCACAGUUAUCACCCAACCGGAGGUUUGAGUGACUCUGUCUGGAUGCAUUUCCUUCGUGUGUUUGUCGUCGUUGUCGUCUUGUAAGCCGAAGUGAUGAUGUAUGUGACUGUGACAGCUAACCAAGUAGAAAAAAAAACACACGCGCACACAAAUUGUUACAGUAUAGUGGAAAAAUGAAGUAGACUGUUACAAUCCCCAGUUCCUCUCUCUAACCCUCAUGGUGCCUGUGUGUCUCCCUUUUAUGGCCAAGUGUUGGUUGUUGUAUAUAAAUGUCUUUCCAUUCACUCAUCACUCCAAGGUGAUCUGUGCAUCAUCUUUUAUGUGUCUGCUUCCCACCGUUACGGCUCCGAUCCACUAACCAAGAACCAACAGACCGUGUGAAACUUUGCUGUUUGUGUUUACAAAUGUUAAGAUAAAUCCUGACUUGGAUGUUUAAAAAAAAACAAAAGGGAAGACAAUGCAGACAGACAGAGGAGCAACAAUCCUCUCACUACACCAUGAGGGGGAUGAAGUAUGAAUCCUCUAUUUUCAGGUCCUUAUCUACUGAAUACUUGAAGUAGGGAGUUCUCCUACCAUGAAAUAGUAACAUAUGAUUUACAUGGUAGACGACGUUUCAAUUGUGCCCAUGCAUGUCGAUUUUUACAUAAUGUGCCAACUGAAAGUGAUGAUGUAAGGAUAAUCUCCUGUUCUCUAUGCAGAGCGAUUUCUCUACUGUUGUGUCAAAAAAAGGUUUCGGAGACACCAAGGCUUAGAGGCUGGGACUGGUUUCCUGAGCUUAGACGCAAGAGUAAUCUGACAUUGCGCUUCAGUGUGUGGCAGAUUUGAGAAGGCAAGGCUUCAUCGGUGCCUAGAAACAGCUGUGUAGAAAGACUUGAAAAGUCACCGGUAAUUUUCAAAAGCCUUCAGAAAAAAGAAAAAAAAAGCCUACCUUACAUUUUCACUGUAUUCUUGUAAACAGGUUGUUUUUGUUCUACUGCAUAUCACUGAAAACUUUGGAUUAAACAAAUCACUGUGACCAAUGCCAGAAACGCUUUUGUUUGACGGAACAAAUAUUAUGUUUACUUUUUUAUUAUUCAUUUUUUUGUAUUUAAGUUAGCUUUAUUUUUUCUAUUGUUUCAGUGCACUGAACAUGCCAGUUUGAGACUGUACUAUUUGUAUAGGUAAAUGUUUUGAGGUGUACAGUAAAAACCUAGGAGCAAACUAAAUGUGUGUCCAGCAUGCUGAAUGAUUAUUCGUGUGAACGUGAGCUAAUCUCCCAUAAAGCAUCAUUCCUCAUACAUUAAUUGCAUCUGCAUCGUGCAUUGUGACGGUGUGAUGUUGUGUUUGAGAGUGAUGUGUGUCUCACUUACUGUGUCCCCUUAGUAGACAGCCUGUGCAGUUCUGUGAGAGUGCAGCAUGUUCUUGGAGUUGCUGGUGUAAAUGCAUUCAGAAAAGAGGGAUGUGUGCGUGCAUAACUGCAAUUUAUUUGUUUAUGAGUGCGUGUAUGUUGUUGUGUGAAUGCACAAGAUACAACUAUUUAAAAAAAAAACUAAACAAAAACAACUUUAUAAAGAGAAAGUCCCUAAAUGAAAAAAAAAGUGAGAUUGAGUAAGUUUGGGAAAAAAAGCAUGGAUACUCUGUAAUGUUUUGUUUUAUAAAAACUAUAGGAGGCUGUCCUCAGUGCCCCAGUUUGCUAUUGUAUGUGCUGUAUCAGAAUAUUACUAUUGAGUGUUGGCCAGCUUGUUUAUAUCCAUCAAAUAAAGGUGACUUUCUUUC